GAAGAGUCGUUCCGUUUUGUUUACUGUGUUAAAACGACAAGGCUAGUGACCCGUCUGCUUCGGUGAAAUGCUGCCUCACUAUUUAAACACCAGUGUUUAGUUCUCUUAUUUUGAAUGAAAUGGUCGGAAGCUGUAAACUCACUCCCGGAAGUUUUUAUUUUUUUAUUUUUCCUGUUUUCUGGCUGUAGAAAGAGAAAAAGUCGUGCAGACGUGCUUAGCUUAGGUUGAUUGUAUGUUCGAAUAAAACCUGUAGGGCGGCCGAACUGACCUCACAUGGACCCGAACCGAAUUAUCCAGGCUCUGAAGGGCACAAUCGACCCGAAUCUGAGGUUAGCGGCGGAGAAUGAGCUUAAUCAGUCCUAUAAAAUCAUCAACUUUGCUCCCACCCUGCUUCAGAUCAUUGUGUCAGAGCAGGUGGAGUUUCCUGUCCGCCAAGCAGCUGCCAUCUACUUGAAGAAUAUGGUGAGUCAGUACUGGCAGGACAGGGAGCCAUCUGUGGGAGAGGUGGUUUUUCCUUUCAACAUUCAUGAGAAUGAUCGACAGCAGAUCCGAGACCACAUAGUGGAGGGUAUCAUCCGUUGUCCAGAGUCCAUACGAGCCCAGCUGACCAUGUGUCUGAGAGCCAUCAUUAAGCACGACUUCCCAGGACGCUGGACCGCCAUUGUAGACAAGCUCAGCAUGUACCUGCAGUCUCAGAACAGCGGCACCUGGUACGGCAGCCUGCUGGCUCUCUACCAGCUUGUCAAAACAUACGAGUACAGGAAGGCAGAUGAGAGGGAGCCGCUACUGGCAGCCAUGCAGAUUUUUCUGCCUAGGAUUCAACAGCUCAUCAGCCAGCUGCUUUCUGAUGCGACCAUUUUUUCUGUCCUCAUCCAGAAGCAGGUCCUCAAGAUCUUCCAUGCUCUUGUCCAGUACUCGCUGCCCCUUCAGCUGAUCAACCACACUGUGAUGACGCAGUGGAUGGAAAUUCUGCGAUCCAUUGUGGACAGAGACGUACCUGCAGAGACUUUGGAAGUUGAUGAGGAUGACCGUCCAGAGCUGGCUUGGUGGAAGUGUAAGAAGUGGACUUUGCGCAUCAUCACUAGACUGUUUGAGCGGUAUGGAAGCCCUGACAAUGUGACCAAGGAGUACCAGGAGUUUGCUGACUUUUUUCUGAAGACCUAUGCAGUAGGCAUACAACAGGUCCUGCUGAAAGUGGUCGACCAGUACCGACGGGGUCAGUAUGUUACUGCUCGGGUUUUGCAACAGUGCUUCACCUACCUCAACCAGGGUCUUUCACAUUCACUGACAUGGAAACAGAUGAAGCCACAUAUGCAGACUAUAUGCCAUGAGGUCAUCUUCCCUCUAAUGUGCUACAGAGAUGAGGAUGAGAGGCUGUGGCAGGAAGACCCCUAUGAGUACAUUCGAAUGAAGUUCAACAUCUAUGACGACCAUUCCCUUCCAGCAACCGCUGCACAGAGUCUCCUGUGUAAAGCUGCUCGCAAGAGAAAAGAGAUUCUCCCUCAGAUGAUGGCGUUCUGCCACAAACUCCUGGCAGACCCCUCUACUGACCCCCGGAGUAAGGAUGGAGCACUGCACUGCAUUGGAGCUCUUGCUGAGCCCUUACUAAAGAAGAGAAUAUACAGGGAGCAGAUGGAGUCAAUGCUGCAAAACUAUGUGUUUCCACUGCUCAAUUCUCCAAUGGGUUACCUUCGAGCCAGGUCAUGUUGGGUGCUGCAUUGCUUCAGCCCACUGUGUUUCCAUAACGAGCUGGUACUUAGGAACGCAGUGGAGCUGGUCAGACAAGACCUUAUAGACGACAAAGAGAUGCCUGUUAAGGUGGAAGCAGCCAUUGCUUUGCAGACACUUGUGAGCAACCAGGAGCAAGCCAAAAUGUACAUCAGGCCAUGCAUUCGCCAGGUGAUGCAGGAGCUUCUACAUGUGGUUAGAGAGACGGAGAAUGAUGACCUUACCAACGUCAUUCAGAAGAUGAUUUGUGAAUACAACCAAGAGAUGGCUGCUAUAGCAGUGGACAUGACACAAAACUUGGCGGAGAUCUUUACCAGAGUUCUGCAGAGUGAAGAGUAUGAGGAGAAUGAGGACAAGACUGUGAUGGCUCUGGGCAUCCUUAGCACAAUAGACACCAUUCUUACUGUCAUGGAGGACCACAAAGAGAUCACUCAGCAGCUGGAAGGGAUCUGUUUGCAGGUGAUUGGCCUGGUGCUGCAGAAGCCCAUCAUAGGUAUGGCAGAGUUCUAUGAGGAAAUCCUGUCUCUGGCUUUUGGCCUUACCUGUCAGACCAUCUCUCCUCAGAUGUGGCAACUGCUUGGUGUUCUUUACGAGGUCUUCCAGCACGAUUGCUUUGACUACUUCACAGAUAUGAUGCCUCUUUUGCACAACUAUGUUACUGUGGACACAGAUAUGCUCCUGUCCAACCCAAAGCACUUAGAGGUCAUCUACAGUAUGUGCAAAAAGGUGCUGACUCUGGACGCUGGUGAUGAUGCAGAGUGUCAUGCUGCUAAACUUUUAGAAGUGAUCAUUCUGCAGUGCAGAGGCAGAGGCAUUGAGCAGUGUAUCCCUCUGUUUGUGGAGGCAGUGCUGGAACGUUUGAUGCGGGGGGUGAAGUCCAGCGAGCUGAGGACCAUGUGUCUGCAGGUGGUCAUUGCUGCCCUGUAUUACAACCCAGCUCUGCUCAUUCAGACUUUGGACAACAUGCACUUUCCUCACAGCCCACAGCCCAUUACAGCCCACUUCAUCAACCAGUGGAUAAAUGACACUGAAUUCUUCCUGGGAUUCCAUGACCGUAAGAUGUGCAUCAUCGGUUUGACCAUGUUGAUGGAGCUCCCCAGCCGACCGACAGCGCUGGAAAGAGUAGCCGGUCAGAUCAUCCCUUCCAUCCUGCUCCUUUUCCUGGGUCUCAAACACAUGUAUGCAUCCCGUCUCAUCAACAAGCCAGACCUGCUUGCCCAUGCAGCGGCUCAUGAUGAAGAUCAAAAUGAAGAGAUCCCCAGUGAUGAAGAUGAGGUGAAUGAAAGCCAAAAUACCAUACAUCAGUCCAGCAUGGCAGCAGGCCAGGGAGGUGACAAUGACGAUAAUGAUGAUGAGGAUGACUACUGGGAUGAAGAUGCUUUUGAGGGAACACCCCUCGAGGAAUACAGCACGCCUCUGGACUAUGACAACGGAGAGGACGAGUACGAGGUCUUCACCUCCGCCCUGCUAAGGUGGGGGUGCAUGUUUCAGGAAUUCAGAACAGCAAUGCUCCCUGGUACCAGUGUUUGACGGCUCCACUUAGUGACGAUCAGAAAAAACAACUCCAGGAAAUCUACAGCAUCUCACAGCAGAGAAGGAGCACCGCUGCCAAGGGCCACUGAGCGCCGAGGAGACAAAUGUCCUGCUGUAUCAAAGCACUGGGUCAAAAUAAAAAAAAUAAAUAAAAAAGAAGAGUAAAGAGAAGCUGACCUGACUUGAACUAUGAUUUCUGUUCAGUCUGCUGUUUAAGAACAGAUCAACCCAUAUCAGAUGAGCGGGAUUCAAACAAAACCAGAUUGGAUGAGGCUGGACUUGGGAGAGUUAAGGACCUGAUGCACUGCUGUAAUCUUCCUAGCACCACAGGAUUGCUGUUCUAACUGUAUAUGUGUGUGAGGACAUCUAUAAAUCUAAUUGUAUGUGACCAGCAGAAUCCCUGCAAAUAUUUUGUGUGUGUAGUCCCAUUUUUUCUGUGGUGAAAGAUCAGUCCUUGUGUCUGAGAACCUCUACAGUAUGAAGUCAUCUCACAAUGUGUCUUUACACUGUGAGCUUGUCUUUGUCUCUGUUCCUGAACAUGCAUCAUCUCAUGAAGCAAAACGCCAUUUCCAGCAGGACACUGUGUGUACUGUGUCCAGGACAAAUGUUCACACACCUUUAGCUGGGAUCUUCAUUUUUAAAUGUUUGGAGACAGAAAUAUUUCAGGAGGCAUUUUUCUCUUUGUUUUGUUUUUUUGUAAAAUUCUUCAGUUAAUUUGGCUAAUCUGAGAAAAUCCAAAAAUUCUCGUAACACUCUGCUGACUUGGUUUGGUUGUGUUUGUACUCCUGCAACUAUAUUUUGCUCAAUAUUAAAAUUAAUUCAUCAGUCCUAAAUGUACAAAAUGUGAGGGUCAAAUAGUAAGCAAGAACAACUGUUCAAAUAUUUCUUUGCAGUCCUGGGAAAGAUGGAAUAAAAUUAAUUCAUCUUUCGUAGGAGCAUUAUGUCACACUUGGAAUAUUUCAACACUUUCAACUUUUAUUUUGUGUAACUCAGAAUGGUUGGUUUAUUUCUGUCACUAGAAGGUGCUACUAAUACAUGUUGAUGGUUGUUUGACAUUAAUAUGAGAGAACUUUGUGUUUUUAAUAUUAAACCAUUAAAUAUUUGUCAGCA